rnacentral:rRNA from 1 species
UUGCUAAGUUUGAUGGCGACCGGCGCACGGGUGAGUAACACGUAUCCAACCUUCCGUUUACUCAGGGAUAGCCUUUCGAAAGAAAGAUUAAUACCUGAUAGUAUGGUGAGAUUGCAUGAUAGCACCAUUAAAGAUUUAUUGGUAAACGAUGGGGAUGCGUUCCAUUAGGUAGUAGGCGGGGUAACGGCCCACCUAGCCGACGAUGGAUAGGGGUUCUGAGAGGAAGGUCCCCCACAUUGGAACUGAGACACGGUCCAAACUCCUACGGGAGGCAGCAGUGAGGAAUAUUGGUCAAUGGGCGAGAGCCUGAACCAGCCAAGUAGCGUGAAGGAUGAAGGUCCUACGGAUUGUAAACUUCUUUUAUAAGGGAAUAAACCCUCCCACGUGUGGGAGCUUGUAUGUACCUUAUGAAUAAGCAUCGGCUAACUCCGUGCCAGCAGCCGCGGUAAUACGGAGGAUGCGAGCGUUAUCCGGAUUUAUUGGGUUUAAAGGGAGCGCAGACGGGUCGUUAAGUCAGCUGUGAAAGCUUGGGGCUCAACCUUAAAAUUGCAGUUGAUACUGGCGUCCUUGAGUGCGGUUGAGGUGUGCGGAAUUCGUGGUGUAGCGGUGAAAUGCUUAGAUAUCACGAAGAACUCCGAUUGCGAAGGCAGCACACUAAUCCGUAACUGACGUUCAUGCUCGAAAGUGUGGGUAUCAAACAGGAUUAGAUACCCUGGUAGUCCACACGGUAAACGAUGGAUACUC